rnacentral:rRNA from 1 species
UACAGAGGGUGCUAGCGUUGUUCGGAAUUACUGGGCGUUAAGCGCGCGCAGGCGGGUCCUGUAAGUCUGGCGUGAAAUCUCACCGCUCAACGGUGAGGCUGCUCUGGAUACUGCGGACCUGGAGACCGGUAGAGGCUGGUAGAAUUGCAGGUGUAGCGGUGGAAUGCGUAGAGAUCUGCAAGAAUACCCGUGGCGAAGGCGGCCAGCUGGGCCGGUUCUGACGCUGAGGCGCGAAAGCUAGGGGAGCAAACGGG